rnacentral:rRNA from 1 species
GGAAUUGUUCGCAAUGGGCGCAAGCCUGACGACGCAACGCCGCGUGGAGGAUGAAGAUUUUCGGAUCGUAAACUCCUGUCGAAUGGGACGAAUAGGUAGCGGGUGAACAGCCCGCAACCCUGACGGUACCGUUAAAGGAAACCCCGGCUAACUCCGUGCCAGCAGCCGCGGUAAUACGUAGGGGGCAAGCGUUGUCCGGAAUUAUUGGGCGUAAAGCGCGCGCAGGCGGUCUGUUAAGUCUUGUGUUUAAGCCCGGGGCUCAACCCCGGUUCGCAUGGGAAACUGGCAGUACUUGAGUGCAGGAGAGGAAAGUGGAAUUCCACGUGUAGCGGUGAAAUGCGUAGAGAUGUGGAGGAACACCAGUGGCGAAGGCGGCUUUCUGGACUGUAACUGACGCUGAGGCGCGAAAGCGUGGGGAGCAAAC